rnacentral:lncRNA from 1 species
UCACACCUGGGUUUUAGGGACCCGGGCGCGAACAUAAUCACCAGGUGUGCUGGGACCAAGUCUGACACAUAUGAUGAAUCAUGGUAAAGAUACAAAUGUCACAACUUUAAUAUAUAAUAAGAGUUAUGUAUAAAAUAAAUAAAUAAUUACAUCGUAAGGAGACAACGAUCCAGCAACCAAAAGUUGACUGGGAGACGACGGCCUAGACCUCUCACGAACACAUCGUAGCAUCCUCCAUGUGCCUCAUCCUGAGGUACCUGUUCUUGACCUCUGGGGGUGUGAGACAGCAAGGGUGAGCUCACAUAUAUUCAUCGCUCAACAAGUUGUGGGGAAUAAUGUGCAUGAACUCGCCAAAGGUAGGAGCUCAUGUGAAGUGUAAGGCUUACCAAAGAUAAUGGUUAAAGCUGAGCAUUGCUUUUAAAGUUGUUCAAAAUUUUAUUAGCAAUUACUAGGUGUAAGUAAAUACCAAACCAUAAUAAUAAUAGAACAAAAUUAAUAAUAAAUCCCAUGCAAUGCAAAUGACAAAUUGAAUUUAGUUCCAUAGUUUAAUCAUGUGAGAUUCCUGAGCUGCUCUUGACCGUGAGCUCGGCUAGUAUACUAGUUUUACACUCUGUAGAGGUUGUACCCUGUACCCACAAGUCGUGUAUCCCAUAUUGCUAGGGUAAGCUAGACCCUUAGACACUACUUAGGUGAAUGGCUAGGGAUCCACUACGAGGCCUUUAUAAAGUUCCACUAGCUUCCGAAAACCCUCUACAGUUUCUGGGAAGAGCAAUUGCAAGAAUCCCUCGUAUGACCGCCAUCGCAGAAAAAUCAACCCGAGGACCUCCCUGCAUGCCUACUCCCCUACUGCCCUUGCCCCUUUCGGGUAAGGUAGUCUUCCACUAGCUUUCCUAAUUAGUCAGCCAAGGGCGUCCCAUUCCACCCUUGUGGUGGCACAUGUUUCUCAAGUUAAGCUCCAUGUUCCAAAUAAAAUAAUAUAAUGAUCUUGAUAUGAACAUAAAUAAAAUAAUAGAAUAAUCGGAACAUGGACAUAAUGUAAUAUUAAUCUCAAAACCGUAUAGAGAAAUAGCAAAACUACCCAAAUGAUUCAGGGGUAAACAAGGUAACAAGAUAAGCAGACUAGGACAACCUAUUGGGUCCCGUCAAAAUUAAACCUAUGCAUGAAUAAAUGAUUAUAAAGAACAUUAUUGGGUAAAUAAAAGUGAUCAAGGGCACAACUUGCCUGGGACUUGAGAUUCUAGGUACCAGGAUGAUCUUCAGAUUCUCGUGACCUCACGCUAGUCGUAGCAAUACAAACAAACAUGGUAUAGACAGAAUUAACAUUACACCAAACAUAAGAAUAAACUAUAUAAUAAUAAUCUACGUGUUGCUAUGAGAUUGUAGGUUCGAGAAUUACUCAGAUCGGAGUCAUGAUUUAUGGAAGAUCUAUGUGAUUAAACUAUAUUAUAAACUGGUUAGUGUAAAUCAUAUGAGAGAUUAUUCUAUAAAUAAUUAUCUCAACUUUAAUCUAAGUCAUUAAAAGAUCAUCUAGUCAAAUUAUAACCAUAAGAUCAGAAUACUAUAUAUUAGUAUUAAAGAAGUUAAUCCAAUAGACAUAGAUUAAUCCAAUUAACAUAGGAUAAAUAAAUUAAUUAUUUACAACAUGUCUCAUGUUAAAAUAAGGUUACCAAAGUGUAGAUAAUUUUAUUAUGAAGCUAACCCAAUCUGAACGGUGUAAAUCGGAGUUACGGUUAAAAAGUUACGAGUUUCUAAAGAUUUAAGAAUCAGGUACAAAAGAUAUUAAGCACAUAAUUUUAACCUUAGAUUUCAUAACAAAAUAAUCUACCAGGGGAUAAACAAUAUUAUUAUGGAUCUAAUGCAAUUGGGAUGGAUCGAUUUGGAGUUACGGAUUGCGAGUUAUGAAUUUCCGAAGUCCUUAUGUGUUUGGUACAAAUAUAAUUGUGUGAUAAAUUUUAAUAUAGUUUUCAUGCUAGAACAAUGUUACUCAGUGAUAGACAAUAUUAUUACCAAAUUAUAGGAACUGGAAUGGAUUAAAAAGGAGCUAAGAUAUAUUUUAUAUGAAUUAUACAAGUUCUGGAAUUAUUUUGCCACUAGAAAUUAAUUUCCUAAAUCUUUUUUUCCUAUUUUAUCAGACUUUAGGACUACGCGCAGGAUUUUAGAGAAGUGCAGGGUCUAAUUCGGAAGACUCUCAAGGCUCAGGCUAUAGCUGGAGUGGACUACGGGUUGAAUAGUUUAAAGUGAAGGAUCUCUUUAAGAAAAUACCUGGUCGAAGGGGUAUAUGUUAUUCCUAACCGUUCGAUCCACAAUCGAUGAUUUGGAUUAGAUCAAAGCCCCGUGAAACGGUACCCAAUGGGAUAGCCAUCAGAUUAGAUCUUGACGGUCCAGGUUUAAUGUUACCUACAUCGAUCACAAGCGCUAGAUCUAGAUCGGACGAACCAGAUUGGUUCAUCCGAACCGGUAUGGGUGGACUAAUCCUAGCCACUCACUCCAAGAUCUAUGGCUCAGGACUCAUCGGCGAAGGGGAGAUGCUAGAUUAUAUUUAGGCCACUGAUCCAGGAAUCGACGGCAACGGCGUUAUCGCCUACCUCCGGCUCGGCUGGCAAUGACACCGCGCCUGCCCUAGGGCCGCGACCAACCAGAGCCGAAGAAGCAACCUAUAAGGGCGAGCGCGAUCCUGCGUAUCGCCGCCGGUGGGUGUCCCAGUAACGACGUGGGCAGAGCCCGCAGUGGCGGCCGUAAGCUGCGGCUGCGCCCAGCCGAUGAGGGCAGCAAGAACCCCGAUGACUACAACCCAGCGCAGCAAGGCAAAAUAGGAAGACAGGUAAGGUCGCAUGGGUGCCUUACCGUGAUCCAUGCCGAGGCAGUUCUCCGCUCCCACAUGGUGCGACCCACGGCACCAGCAGCAUCGAAGCACUAGGUAGCCAUCUUAUUCCCUCUGGAUCUCUCCCUGCGCUCGACCAUGGUGGCUGUGGCUACGACGCUUGGAGCCGGGACGCGGUAGCCGAUACCCUGCGCAUGGCCCGGCAGCAAGGAGUGGCAAUGGGAAGAUGCAGCACGCGACGAAGUGGUGGCCCGGGUCUGUGCAUUUAUGGCCCCUAGUGAGCAAGAGAACGACCUUGGC